GACGAACGCUGGCGGCGUGCCUAACACAUGCAAGUCGAACGGAGAUACGAUUUCGGUUGUAUCUUAGUGGCGAACGGGUGAGUAACGCGUGAACAACCUGACUCUAAGAGGGGGACAACACUCGGAAACGGGUGCUAAUACCGCAUAAGACCACGACCCGGCAUCGGGAUGAGGUCACAGGAGCAAUCCGCUGAGAGAGGGGUUGGCGUCCCAUUAGAUAGAUGGCGGGGUAACGGCCCACCAUGUCAACGAUGGGUAGCCGAGCCGAGAGGCUGAUCGGCCACACUGGAACUGAGACACGGUUCAGACUCCUACGGGAGGCAGCAGUGGGGAAUAUUGGGCAAUGGGCGCAAGCCUGACCCAGCAACGCCGCGUGAGGGAAGAAGGCUUUCGGGUUGUAAACCUCUGUCCUUGGUGACGAAACAAAUGACGGUAGCCAAGGAGGAAGCCCCGGCUAACUACGUGCCAGCCGCCGCGGUAA
rnacentral:rRNA from 1 species